UGAGUACCGGCUUUAACAGCUAAGUGAGACCACUUUGUCACAGUCCUUGGUAUAAUUUACCCAUUUCAGCUGCUGUUAUUAUCACCCUGUCUUGAGCAGUCACUGAAGGCAAAGGAAGACACCGUUUCAAAUGCUGGACAUUUUAUCAUUAAUCGCCAGCUAGAGAGUGAACCGGGGAGAAAAUGAAACUGAAGUGAGAGAAGGGAGCUGGUGAGAAGGGGAAAUAAGACACAGGCUCUUUUUCCAUUUCAUUCCAGUCCAUUUCACAAACAUCCACAUUUGAAAUGUGGAGUGAAGGCAAGAGCUCGGUGCAACAUCCAUCCACACAGCAUUAGGAAUUAACUCUAGAAACAAGAGAUCGUAAAAAGAUGGGCAGAGGAUGACAAGAAGCCAUUGUCAGGGACACUAGAAUCAACGUGAGUGCAGCACCAUUCUUCUGUGUGCACAGAGGUGAGGUGAGGGUUAUGAUUUGUACUUGAUCGUCGAUACAUUGCUGAAGGUGUUUGAGGGAAAGGUUAUGUACAUGGGUGUAAUGUUUAUGCCAAAUGUAUUCUACAACCUUUUGUAUUUUUUAUUCUGCUGUGGUUUUUCUUUUGCAAAGGCAAGUUCAGAUGCAUUUUGAAUUCCAGUAGCUACCAUUGAAAUGCAUUGUGUGUGUUUGUGUUUGUGUGUGUGUCAGUGGCAUGGAGAAAGGCAGGUGUAUGGCAGGAACCCAAGGUGACAGUUGAAAAAAAAAAAACAUGCAAAUGUGUUGCCAACUACCAGGGACGGCAAGCAAGGUCACAGUAUUUCUAUUUUUAUUCUGAACAAGUGAAUCAACCUAACAAACAAAAUUCUGAGAUAUUUGCCAAUUUCAAAAUUAUACCUCGUUUUCAGGGAAAUUACUUUUAAUUGUGUUUUCCUUCAAACAUACAGUAAGUCCAUGAAAAAGCCCCUACAUGUAUAAAUGCUUAGAUAUAGCAGUAGUUUCAAAGAAAAGCUUGACGUUACAGUCUGUGGGGCAUUAACCAUUAAUCUUAAAUUAGUGUAAAUUAAUGGCUGUAGUGAAUAUUUAAACAACAUGUGCUCUACAUUCGACAAAAACUGAAUUCACACUUGGGCCUGCUUCCACUAUUAUAUCAGCUUCACAACCUUGAGCUUGUGCACAAUGAAUCAUCUCAAACUGUUUUGACGAGAGAAAUAAAUGACCGGGGUCAAAGGUCACUGGCUUUGAGGUAGGCAGAGAGGAUAAAACUGCACGGGUCGUAGAACACAACCAACACUCAGCUGCUUGAGGACAAGAGGAAGAACGAGAACAAAGUGUUCUUGGCUCUGGCAGUGCACUGUUAUUAAAAUAUGUCUGUCCAAGAGAACUGCAUGCUGUCUGUGAAAAGAAGAAGAAGAAAAAAAAGAUCCUUUGGGUCCGAGAGCCGAUUCUCCGACACUGUUUCUGUCAGGGAGGCAGAUGAGAGUGUCAGUGCUAAAUUCACAGCGCUGCCAUUUCCUUUUCAGGUUUUAUUUUGGAAUCUGCUCCAGAAUUAUUGUCAGUGGUGUCAGUUGAGUGUUUGUUUUGGUGAUUCGCCAACAGUAUCCAAAAGCGUGUCUGAGAAAAAAAUGGAAAGCAUCACCAAGGAGGACAAAGCAUAACUCCACUAAGCCUUAAGGGUCCCUCAGGCCAUCUUUUAAGGAGGCUGGAGGGUGAAUAUAGCUGUGUACACUCCGCUUGUGACUCCUGUGUCUCCCACUUGGUCGAAAUGGCUGACUAGAUGCUAAUAAGCUUGCUCUGUCAUGCUUAGACUGUCAGACCUGGUGCAACUGCAUGUUAAGAUAAAAAGCCUACAUUUGGCAAUGCUGAAUCCCAAAGGUCCAAGGUCCCACUUAUGUUUUAGCAUAUAAAUGAGCAAAUGUGAUGCUAAUAUAUUUCUAAAACCUUAGCAGUCCUUUGUCCUUGUUCCUGUAAUAGAGAAACUUCUUUGUUUCUUCUUCUUCUGUGUUUCAGCCUGCAGAUAGCUUUUGUUCAUGGCUGGCUGGCCUUACAUUUUGUGCUUGGUGAUUGGCAGUGUCCAGCAGGCCAGUUCCUUGAAGACUACCCCUGUACUGUCUAGAGGUCCUCUGCUAUUGAUUUCCUGCUCGCGCUCGCUGCUUGACCUGCCAAUCAAUGGUCAGAACAGUGGGACGUCAUUGGGAGCAAGUUGACGACGUGUGAUGCUUGGCAGACAUGUAACUGAUGGCACUGAACAAGCUAAACAUAUUAGAAGGAAGGGGAGAGACAGAGACACCCUGCCCGCAAAGGGAGCACACACUACUGCUCCUGUUUUUGUUACAGACAGAAAACCUGAAGUUAAUUUUAAAUUAAAAAGCAGUGAGGGGCUUAUACAUUUGGGGGGAGAUGUCUGAGAAAUCCAAUCACUUCGAAGCGAUCACCUCACACAAGGCAAUGAUUCAGUCGUGUUUUUUUUGUUCUCUUUUCUGUAAAUUGCAAGUGAGAGUGACUUACUGUACAAAUUCAGUCCAAGUUACAAGUGAUUAGCUGUGAAGAAUAAAUCUUCAGAGAAACUCAUUUGAACUGUGAACAGUGGAGUGGAAACUAUUGAGAGACAUCGCACCCCCAGAGUUGGGCUGUGUGAUUUUGGAGAUGGACUCGAAGGGAGGCCCAGAAUAAAUAAAUAACAUUUUCUUCUAAGGACGGCAGUGUGUGGAUUUCUAAUUCAGUGACUUUGAGGCUGAGAGUGCUCUUUGCUCGACGGCUGACUUCAUGACACACAGGCGACAACAUUCCUCUGGCCGUGAUUAAAAUACUGGGGUCGCCACAUGGAUUGGUUCCAACAAGACAAAGAGGAUUUUUGAAAUUUUCUUUUUGAUUAUGUUUGAUACAACAAAAGCUUCAGUAAUGUUAGUUGGACUUACUGUACAUCAGAAAUGAGAAACAAGUUUGAAAAAAAAAGAAAAAAAACUUUACUUUUUUAGGGCACCAAAAAAAAUGGAUUACGAAAU
rnacentral:lncRNA from 1 species